ACGAACGCUGGCGGCGUGCCUCAUACAUGCAAGUCGCGCGAAGUUUUUCUGGUGCUUGCACCGGAAAAACUUAGCGGCGAACGGGUGAGUAACACGUAAAGAACCUGCCUUAUAGACUGGGACAACUAUUGGAAACGAUAGCUAAUACCGGAUAACAGCAUUAACUGCAUGGUUGAUGUUUGAAAGUUGGUUUUGCUAACACUAUGAGAUGGCUUUGCGGUGCAUUAGCUAGUUGGUGGGGUAAAGGCCUACCAAGGCGACGAUGCAUAGCCGACCUGAGAGGGUGAUCGGCCACACUGGGACUGAGACACGGCCCAGACUCCUACGGGAGGCAGCAGUAGGGAAUCUUCCGCAAUGGGCGAAAGCCUGACGGAGCAACGCCGCGUGAGUGAAGAAGGAUUUCGGUUCGUAAAGCUCUGUUGUUAGGGAAGAAUGAUUGUGUAGUAACUAUACACAGUAGAGACGGUACCUAACCAGAAAGCCACGGCUAACUACGUG
rnacentral:rRNA from 1 species